GCGACAAUUCGUCGUCUAAGAUUUUGACUCGUUUUGUUAUUGAGACCGAAUUUGUAUAAUCUGGUGACAAUGCUGCGACAAAUCCUUUUGCAAAGUGCUAGGGACCAAAAUAAUAUACUUCAGCGAUUUACUUUGCAGAGGAAUUCACAGUAGAAACAAGAAGGCGAAGGAGUACAUAGCCAAAUGUUGGAAUUCUUUGAAGGAAAUUGAUAGAGUAAGGGAUUAUUGGGACUACAAUGACGUAAAGUUGAUUCCUUUCUUACGGAUGGGCUGUUUUAUUGGUUGAAGCUACAUCAUGGGUAGAGUUGAUAAUAAAUAUGUUCAGUCGGAUCAUCAAGCAUUCUAUUAUUUGGAGAAGGCUAUUGAUAAGUAUUGAGUAUUAAUGACAGUAUUGAUGACUGGCUGUAGUAUCUAAAGCUCUAUUUUUGGAUUUAAUUCAUUCCAGGAUCCAAGAUGAAGCUGGUGUCCAAGAAGAAGAUUAGUGGAUGACAACCAUUGUAGUUUUGUUCAAAAAUUAUUUUUUUUUG